CUUAAGGGGCAAAGGUAUCGCAGCUCUCCUGUCGAAGGCUGCCUUGGACUUUUUGGCUGAAGAUGACCUGAAGGCGCACAUUUCUUGCUGGUCCCAUGCCUCUACCGGAAAGGGUGUGAUUUCGCCACUCAAUGGCCUACUGACUGAAUGGUAAAAGAAGCCACGCCUUUAGGGUCUGAAUGAUCUUGACAGUAAAACUUGAUAUGGUGAUAAUGUCUUAAUCACUGUGUAGAAGCAGAAAGCAGUGAGAACGUACAAUGGGUGCCAACCUGCCAGUUGCGUCAAAACUGUAUUUAUUUAUUUAAUUUGUGAGUAAUUGAAACUUGGCAGCAUUUGUAGGCUAUAUUCAAUUAAACCGCAUGU